AAUUAAUAUCUUCCAAACAAUACAGAAAAGUUGUAGAGAUCCUAUACAAAAACAAACAUAUAAAGCUAAAGUUUGUAUAAAUAUUUAUAAGUAGUAAAAAUAACUUGCAGAGAGGAUUCCUUCUUGGCUCUUCCUGCAUAGCUUUUAUCCUUUUGCUGCGGUUGCAGUUCUUUGCUUGGUUUCUUGAUUGUUUGGAGUACGUAGAUGCUGUAGGCUUGCUUUCUUGGCUCUUCCUGUGUACCUUUUAUCUUUUUGCUGCGAUUGCAGUUCUUCACUAGGUUUCUUGAUUGUUUGGAGUACGUAGAUGCUGUAGGCUUGCUUUCUUGCCUCUUCCUCUGUAGCAUUGUAGCCUUCGCUCUUCCUCUGUAGCAUUGUAGCCUUCACCUUUAUUGUUGCUUGCAGUUCUUUGAUUGAAAUCUUUGAUUGUUUGGGGUAGAUACUGAAAGCUUCUUAGCUCUUCCUGUGUGACUCUAUAGUGUUCACCCUUUGCACCAACCUUUGUACCUUUGCUGUGGUUUGCAGCUCUUGAUCUACUUUUUAUUGUAUAGACCCCUGAAGCUUCCUUUGAUUUGUAG
rnacentral:lncRNA from 1 species